rnacentral:tRNA from 1 species
AGGAGUAAAGCUCAGCAGUAGAGCACUUGCCUAGCAUGCGUGAGGCCCUGGGUUCGAUCCCCAGCACUGUGG